rnacentral:rRNA from 1 species
UGGGGAAUUUUGCGCAAUGGGGGAAACCCUGACGCAGCAACGCCGCGUGAGUGAUGAAGGCUUUCGGGUCGUAAAGCUCUGUCAGAGGGGAAGAAAUGAGAUUGGCUAAUAUCCAAUUUUCUUGACGGUACCCUCAAAGGAAGCACCGGCUAACUCCGUGCCAGCAGCCGCGGUAAUACGGAGGGUGCAAGCGUUGUUCGGAUUUAUUGGGCGUAAAGCGCGUGUAGGCGGUUUCUUAAGUCUGAUGUGAAAGCCCUGGGCUCAACCCAGGAAGUGCAUUGGAUACUGGGAGACUUGAAUACGGGAGAGGGUAGUGGAAUUCCUAGUGUAGGAGUGAAAUCCGUAGAUAUUAGGAGGAACACCGGUGGCGAAGGCGGCUACCUGGACCGAUAUUGACGCUGAGACGCGAAAGCGUGGGGAGCAAACAG